CCGGGCGGAGGGCCGCCUGGACUCGGGGCAGGUUGACGCAGUGCCUUGAGAGGCCAACACAGAAGGGUAGAGGAAGCCUCCAUGAAACCCGGAGAGGGGCCGAACCUCCUCCCCGGAUCCUGUCUGGAGUCACAGCUGAGCCAGAGGAGCGUGCUGUCGGGGCCGCUGCGGUGUGAGGACGGGGUGGGCUUGAGGUUGAACGCUGCCAGUACAAGCCAGUGAAAGUGGGGUGCGCGCCGCUGGUGUUCCCGCCGGUACCGGUUGUCACUGUAGUUGCAACAGGAAGGUGCCUCUGAUGAGGUGAGAUACCCUUAAGUGUGCCUGGUGUGGUUAAGAAAGCAGGGAGUGUUGUUGGAUGGCGUUUGGCCGUCCAGAAGGCAGGGAUCUUCGGUAGAAGAGCACGUGGAACCUUAGUAACAGUGUGACAAGUGCCAACUCGCUUGGGCAGUCAGUGUGAGCUCCAGUGGAGAGGACUGUUGUACAGUGGCAUAAAUGAUGGAUCAUGAACAGCGCAUUAACAUGAAGUUUUGUUUCAAACUGCAAAAAAGCGCUAAAGAAACCCAUGAAAUGUUGAAAUUAGUGUACGGCGAUGCUGCAGUGACCAGGAAGACGGUCUACAAGUGGUUUGAGCGAUUUCGUAAGGGCUGUGAGUCUGUUAACGACGAGGAGAGAUCCGGACGCCCUUCAACGUCAAAAACCCGAGAGAACGUUGAGAGAGUGAGCGAAAUGAUUCGAUCGAACAAGCGAUUGACUAUUAGGAAAAUUUCUGAGGAUUUGAACAUCUCUUACGGUACCGUGCAGAGCAUUUUAACAACAGAUUUGAACAUGAGGCGAGUGAGUCCGAAAUGUAUCCAUACACAGCCACAGGAGUUAGAGCAGUAAGACAGUGCCGGUGGUGACAGGGCAGCAUUCCCUUCCAUGUAACUCUUACUGACAGAGGUAGGUACUGUUCUCCCGUGUUAUCGAGGAAGAAUGGUCAGUAGGGAACUCCGGUUCCCCUACCUGUGAGUAGCUCCGAGCAGGGGGCCUCCGAUGUGUAACUUUGUAGCUGUGAGUAAUGUGAUGCCUUGACAUUUAAUGUCUCUGUAGCAGAAAAAAAUUUAGAUUAAUCCAGUUUGCGGGGAGCAAAACCACAGAGCUGUUAAGGAUAUAAGCUCUUCAGAGUAUUUAAUUGCACUGAACCUAGUUUCCCAAAAUUUGGACCAAAAGGAGCAUCUGUCAGCAUGUUAAUUUUCUGUAUGUAUGUGGUAUAAUAAGUUGUAAAACGGGUUGAAAGGACACAGUAGAUUGAGACAUCUAAGUAUCAGGUGGAAGUUUCCUGAUGGAAGAAGUGAAAGUCUGGUAAGAUGCCCAGCCCUCUGCGAGUUCAUUCCUUGUACUCCCGUCUGCACGUCCAGCAAUUUGAGGGUUUUUCCCCAUUAAACUGUAUGCCAAUUACAUAUAAUGCAUUUUCCAGAAACUUUGAAUAAAGGUAUUUUAUAUUUA